CCUAGGGGCGGCAGCAGUGGGGAAUAUUGGACAAUGGGCGAAAGCCUGAUCCAGCCAUGCCGCGUGUGUGAAGAAGGCCUUCGGGUUGUAAAGCACUUUCAGUGGGGAAGAAAGCCUUGGGGCUAAUACCCUCGAGGAAGGACAUUACCCACAGAAGAAGCACCGGCUAACUCCGUGCCAGCAGCCGUGGUAAUACGGAGGGUGCGAGCGUUAAUCGGAAUUACUGGGCGUAAAGCGCGCGUAGGCGGUCUGAUAAGCCGGUUGUGAAAGCCCCGGGCUCAACCUGGGAACGGCAUCCGGAACUGUCAGGCUAGAGUGCAGGAGAGGAAGGUAGAAUUCCCGGUGUAGCAGUGAAAUGCGUAGAGAUCGGGAGGAAUACCAGUGGCGAAGGCGGCCUUCUGGACUGACACUGACGCUGAGGUGCGAAAGCGUGGGUAGCAAACAGGAUUAGAUACCCUUGUAGUC
rnacentral:rRNA from 1 species